CGACAGCAAUAUGAAGGUCAGGCUGAAGACCUUACCGGAUUAGCUGAGAGGUGGUGCAUGGCCGUCGUCAGUUCGUACUGUGAAGCAUCCUGUUAAGUCAGGCAACGAGCGAGACCCACGUCCACAGUUGCCAGCAUACCCUCCGGGGUGAUGGGCACACUGUGGAGACCGCCGCUGCUAAAGCGGAGGAAGGAAUGGGCAACGGUAGGUCAGUAUGCCCCGAAUCUCCCGGGCUACACGCGGGCUACAAUGGUUGGUACAAUGGGCAUCUACCCCGAAAGGGGAAGGAAAUCUCUUAAAGCCAAUCGUAGUUCGGAUUGAGGGCUGCAACUCGCCCUCAUGAAGCUGGAAUCCGUAGUAAUCGCGUUUCAACAGAACGCGGUGAAUACGUCCCUGCUCCUUGCACACACCGCCCGUCAAACCACCCGAGUAGGGUCUGGAUGAGGGUGUGUUACCUUGACACUAUUCGAAUCUG
rnacentral:rRNA from 1 species